rnacentral:rRNA from 1 species
AUUGAACGCUGGCGGCAGGCUUAACACAUGCAAGUCGAGCGAGCGGCGGACGGGUGAGUAAUGUCUGGGAAACUGCCUGAUGGAGGGGGAUAACUACUGGAAACGGUAGCUAAUACCGCAUACCAUCAGAUGUGCCCAUAGGGGAUUAGCUAGUAGGUGGGGUAAUGGCUCACCUAGGCGACGAUCCCUAGCUGGUCUGAGAGGAUGACCAUCCACACUGGAACUGAGACCCGGCCCAGCGUCCUGCGGGAGGCAGCAGUGGGGAAUAUUGCACAAGGGGCGCAAGCCUGAUGCAGCCGUGCCGCGUGUGUGAAGAAGGCCUUCGGGUUGUAAAGCACUUUCAGCGAGGAGGCGUUACUCGCAGAAGAAGCACCGGCUAACUCCGUGCCAGCAGCCGCGGUAAUUC